rnacentral:rRNA from 1 species
CCUACGGGUGGCAGCAGUGGGGAAUAUUGGACAAUGGGGGAAACCCUGAUCCAGCGACGCCGCGUGAGUGAAGAAGUAUUUCGGUACGUAAAGCUCUAUCAGCAGGAAAGAAAAUGACGGUAUCUGACUAAGAAGCCCCGGCUAACUACGUGCCAGCAGCCGCGGUAAUACGUAGGGGGAAAGCGUUAUCCGGAUUUACUGGGGGUAAAGGGAGCGUAGACGGGAGGGCAAGUCUGGGGUGAAAUCCCGGGCCCAACCCCGGAACUGCUCUGGAAACUGUGAAGCUAGAGGUCAGGAGAGGUAAGCGGAAGUCCUGGUGUAGCGGUGAAAUGCGUAGAGAUCAGGAGGAACACCGGCGGCGAAGGCGGCUUACUGGACUGUAACUGACGUUGAGGCUCGAAGGCGUGGGGAGCAAACAGGAUUAGAUACCCGUGUAGUC